rnacentral:tRNA from 1 species
GCGCCGAUAGUCUAGCGGUAGGACACGGGCUACCCAAGCCUGUAACCCGGGUUCGAUUCCCGGUCGGCGCA